CAAAACAUGUAAAAUUUAUCUUAUAAAUAUUUUAAAAACAUUUAUUUUACGAAAUGCAAAAUAAGUAAAAUAUGACUAAAAUCACCAUGUUUAUUUAUGCUUUGAUCAUCUUUUAUUUUCCGUUUCUUGUUGAAUCCAUUUCUUAUCAGAUAACUAAUAUCCCCUGCAAAACUAAAGAGGAUUGUCCACCAUCAGUAAAAUUUGUUUGGAUAUGCAAAGAAAAAUCUUUUAUGACAAAAUCCAAAGAAAAAUUUUGUGCUAAAGUUACACAAGGAAUAUAUUACGGCCCGGACGCAAAAGGAUGAAUAAGGAUGGUUUUUAUUACUUUGUCUUAAAUUUAAUAUAUAUAUAUAUAUAUAUAUA